AGGCGCAGUGAUACAGACGCAGAAGGCCGACGGGUUCCGCUUGUGCACAUCCUUUCCGACCCCGCUCCCCUCUAUUCCCGACAGCUGGCGGUUCUGACCAACAGCACGGCGACUCCAGGCCCGGCAACACGUGCCCCGAUGCACCUCGGAGGCAGACAGAUUCUUUACGACUGAGCCAUCUGGGAAGCCUCUCUGCAAUAAUCUAUAAUAGCCAAGUGAGUACCCUGUGCCCUGCCUGCUUCCCUGGAUAAAUCAGCACCAAACACAAAUCUCAGGAGCCUUCAGCUCAUUGGUGGAAUCUAAUUCACAUUUGCGUUCUUGCAAAUAAGCCUGCUUUCUGAGGAGAGACUGCCCCUCCCAGGGAUAACCAGUUCUUAGAGACAACAAAGACUGGACUGGAAGCAC